GUUUAUAUAGAUUAACAAAAUUGUAAGGCUGUUAACCUUGAGUUACUUUUAAAGUUAUAAACG
rnacentral:tRNA from 1 species